ensembl:snoRNA SNORD62 Small nucleolar RNA SNORD62
CCCCAGUGGUGCAGUUCCUGUGGCCCAUUCUGAUCUUCCACUGUGGACUCAGUGCAGGGGGAUGGAGAAGCCAUGGGC